rnacentral:misc_RNA from 1 species
GAUGAAGAACGUAGUGAAAUGCGAUAAGUAAUGUGAAUUGCAGAAUUCAGUGAAUCAUCGAAUCUUUGAACGCACAUUGCGCCCGCCAGUAUUCUGGCGGGCAUGCCUGUUCGAGCGUCAUUUCAACCAUCAAGCCCCCGGCUUGUGUUGGGGACCUGCGGCUGCCGCAGGCCCUGAAAACCAGUGGCGGGCUCGCUAGUCACUCCGAGCGUAGUAAUACAUCUCGCUCAGGGCGUGCUGCGGGUUCCGGCCGUUAAAAAGCCUUAUUUACCCAAGGUUGACCUCGGAUCAGGUAGGAAGACCAGCUGAACUUAAGCAUAUCAAUAAGCGGAGGA